AUAAAUUGAUAAGGAAGAAA
rnacentral:misc_RNA from 1 species